GUGGGCUGGGGCAACUGAAGCUUCCACAAAGGCAAGAGGACGGCUGGCCGAUGAAGGGAGAUUGCAGGAGGGACCCUCGUGGGGCCUCAAAGCCCGGCCCAUUGCCAAGAAACUCCCUCAGGGGAGGAGGAGACGGAGGCAGAAAAGAAAACAAACAGCCGGAGUUCUGUGCCAGGGGAGUGUCGCAGCUUUUAAUUCAAGAUGAAAUGUGUUCCUGUUUGUGUACAACUCAUUUUCCUCCCAAAUGAAGGGUUUUGUCUAUCACUCGACUGUUUCAAUAGCAACUGAGUCUCCCUCACUGUAAUUAAGCUAGCAUGUGCCUCUCUAGUUGGGGAAGCAGGCUGUCUGUGUUAACGUGUUGGGGAAGCGGGCAGGCUUGAGUUGCUGCCCGGGUCCAAGAAGGAAAAAGCAACAAAGAAUGGAAGAGAACACCUCCAAAUAGAGACUUGGCUCCCGCUGGGAUGACGUCUUUUGGAAACUAUCACGAGCUCCCGAAGCCUGGGUCUUUAUCUGUUCUCUGCUGCAUCUCCAGGGACCUCAGCUGUGACUGGCACAUAGCUGGUCCUCCUGAUAUAUGUGCAGAAGGAAUGAGUGAAGGCUCAGAGAUCUGCCUGUAGAGCAGGAGAUUGAGAACCCUUAAACAUCCCCGGUUCUAGACCGGAUGAUCUGACUCUGUCAUUUCGCAGACCUUCCUCCCGUUGCUUCCGCGGCUGGUUCUGAGGCUGCUGCCAUCUGUGGCCAAGUCUGCUUUGUCAACAGCAGCAGCGCUGCAGAGGGGCUCGGACCCGCUGAUAGAAGCUCCUGUUCCAGCGGGUGCCUGGCUGAUGCCCUGUGAUGAUGUCACAGCCACAGAUCCUGAUGGCAGCCGUGAUGGUAACGGUCCCAGCUACCCCAGCCGUCUCGCUUGAUGGGGCGACCAAGGGCCCACAGAUUGCUCCUGAGUGCGCCUCUCUAGUGACAGAUGAUUCUGAAACCAGCCCGUCUGGUUUGAUCCGGAGAAGAAAACAACAAAUAUAUGUAUUUUUCUUUUUUCCUUUUGGCGGAGAAGUUGCAGUCAUCUAGAAAUCAUUUCAAGGUCAUCCAAAUGCCUGAGGCCCCGCGGACACGGACUCCUGAGCAUCGUCUCCAUCCUUGAAGGACAAGGUUCCAUCUCUGCAUCUCCAGCACCAGCGCAGGGCCUGGCACGAGGCAGAGCUCAAAGCAGGGAGUGUCUGUUGACUGCCCAGGCGAGGUCAGACAGGAGCCGGCCCACUGGCCUGUAGGACGUCCCACAGAAUGGCUAAUAAAGACCUCAUGUCAUUACAUGUGGUCUUUGCGGGGAAAGAAACACACUGUGGUGUCAUGAGAGGAGCUUCGGGGGAACUGACCUGGUCCCUGGGCCAGGAUGCGGGGAUAAUGACAGACACAGAAGAAUCCCUCAAGGAGGUGACAUUUCAUCUGAGACAUGACAGUACUCCCACCAUGUGUGUCAUCUGCACCUCUGUGUGGAGUAGGAAGGUCUCAAGCUCAAGGUCCCUGGCGGGUAAACAACAAUCAAAACAAUUUCAAGUUCACGGACAUCCUCUGCAAUCAACAUCAACUGCUCCAUCAGGAAAACAGGACCUCGUAUUGUUGAUGUUUAUGAAGUGUCCGCUGCGUGUCUGACCUGUUCUGAGCACUGGGAACAAAGCCGUGAACAAGACGGAAAGAUCCCUCCCUACAGGAUCCGUACGUCCUAACACAGCGGGACGAACGCCGACGUCAACUGGUACCUGGUCUGAUUACCAAGCAGCCAAGGAGGCCUCGGGGUGUCUUGGAGGCUGGAACCAGCAGCCCGGGGUGAGCUACGAGCGCUUUACAUGAGCUGCUCCCAGGUGAGAGGUCGGGGUCAGGCCCCCCCAGCCCCCCGCCGGCUCCACCCAGGUGAGCCCUGAGCUGCUCCCAGGUGAGCCCUGUGUGUGUGGAGAGGCGGAUCUGGAGGAUCCCACGCUCAGGCCGGUAAGCUCCGGGAGGGCAGGGAUCGGGUCUCUUCUCGGAUUCAUGGCGCAUGGUGCCUGGCUCCUCUGACCACUGGGAGGGGACAGGCGAGGCCAGAGGCUGGAGACGGCGGUGGCCGUGAAGGUAGGAACCCCAAGGGCUCGGGGAGGAGGUGGAGGUGCCGCUGGGGUGAGGCUGGGGCAGGUGUGGGGGGCGGCGGGCUAGGGGCGGCCCCAUGUCGUUACCUUCUCCCCUGCAUCUUUGGGUUAGAAAUACCUCGUUGGGUGCAGAAGGCGUUGAUUAGGAAGGACUUUCCCCUCCCUACAAUGAAGGCUCCUGUGACCAUCUUGCUUUACAAAAAGUAUUUCACAGAUGGACGUGUGAAUGAAUAAAUGAACGAAUGAAUGAGAAUCAGCUGGUCUGAUUCUCAGUAGAUGUAGAAGCAAAUUAUGGCCACUUGACGCAGGAGGAUAUUCAAGGGAACUGGCUCUUUCCUGAGGACAAGGGCGGGCUAUUUCCUGUCCGGGCCUCAGUUUCCCUGUGGGUAAAAUGAAAGGGUAUCUAAGUAAUCUUAAAGGACAUCUCAGGAGAUAAGCACGAGAGACUAGGCUGUGUGUCUUGCAACGUCCUAAAGGGAACGUGGGGAAAAUCCUAUUACUCAGCGGUGGGAGGGGCACCCACUGGGACUCUCACCUGGAGCAGGUGGGCCUUGGAAUCCUUCCUCAUUGGUUUCUUCCCUCACCUUGGCCUCCCGGCCCCUGCCUGACUCUCCAACCCCACCUUUCUACCAAGUAGGUUAGAGCCUCAGUGAGCAUGACAGGGACCUCAAAUUACAGUGGCUUCAAUAAGACAGUUUAUUUCUUUUUUGCAUGAAAUCCAAGCCCGUAGGGUGAUUCUUCUCUGUAGUUUUCAGGGUCUCAGGCUCCUUCCACCUUGCUGCUCUGUCACCCUUGGGGUGUGGCUUCUCCCACAAGGUGGAUCACAUCCCAGUGUCUGGCCAGCAGGGAGGGGCAGAGGGGACAGAUGGGCACAAGCCUUCCCUUUAAGGGUGGGGCCCAGCAGCUGAGCACACAGUUCUCUUUCCCACUGGCCACAGCCCAGUCGCAUGACCACCCCUGACUGCAAAGGGGGCUGAGAAGUGCAGUCUUCAUUCUGCCCGGCUGUGUGCCCAGAAAACAGGCUGUUACUGGGAGGGGACAGUGGAUGCUGGGAGACAGUAUCCCAGUUGGCUCACACUGCUCCGGCCUGCGGUGACCAACUGUCCUGCUUUGCUGAGGCAUUUCUCUGGACACAGAACUUGCAGUGCUAGACCUGGGAUAGUCAUAGGAGGAAUUGUCCACGCUGGCUUCUUUUCUUAUCCCCAAACGGGCCCAGCACGUUCCUGCCUCAGGGCCUUUGCAUGUGCUGUUACCUCUGUCUGGAACACACUUUCCACAACUCUUUCCAUUCAGAAAGGAUUACUGGGUGCCCACCUCAUGUAUGAGCCGCUGUUCUAAACACUACAUGCCAGGCGCAGAGUGAAAAUUCCAACCAUGCUUUUAACAUAACAAGGAUAAUUCUUUCUACUCCUCCCUGGUCACUUUUGUUUCCAAAUCUCCGUGGCUUAGUAAUUUUUAUUACCUGCAGCUCAGAAAGGAACACCUCCUUCCCUAAGGCUCUGGCUGGGCUCUCACACAGUCUGAUAAAUCUUAUGUUAAUAAUAACCCGAAAGAAGAACAUGUAUUAACUUCUAAGAUUAUGAUCUAGGAAACAAGGAUUUUGAAGAGAUGUGUAAGCCUAAUCAAAGGCAAUGUGGGGUGGAGAAAGUUUUAUUAAAUAGAACCACACCUCUUGGGUGGGCUCAUUGGUACAGUCUUUCCGGAGGGCAGUUUGGCACUAUAUGUAGCAACUGCAACUGCAAAUGCACAACUUCGGGCCCCAAAGUCCAUUUAUAGGAAUUUAUCCCAAUGAAAUAAUGAGAAAAAUAUGCAAAGGUGGGUCUCUAAGGACUUCUGCAAGAGGAAAAAGUAUAAAAGCCUAAAUGUCUGAGGCUGGGAAGCACGGAUUGCUCUCCUCUGCCCUGACACCAACAGGCGCUUCAGAUGAGGAACGGAGGCAGAGAGAGUUUAAGCAACUUACCCAAGGUCACACAGCAGGCAGUGGCAGAGCUGGAUUUGAACCAGGGAGGUGACUCCAGAGCCCAUACUGUUCCCCAGUCGGCUCUGCCACCUCCUGGGCCGCAAAAGGGAAUGAGAACGUCUUCCCGGGAAUAAUAUCGAGAUUUCUCUGGGAGGUGAGAGGAUGACGCAAAGUCUGAAGUGUGGGACCUGGACCCAGGCUGUGGGACCCAGAACACCCAGAGCAGGCGGGAGGCCUGUGGUGGCCGAGAGUGCUGGCUGUCCCCAGGUGGCCAGGGUGGAACAGCUCCGCUAGCCCCUUCCCGGGGUGAGGGCUGUGUUAUUGGCUCCCCCCUAAUCCUCCAAGCCUGCAGCCCAGCCCCAGGCCUCCAAACCCAAGACCACCCAGUUGAGACUGGAAGGAAACCUUCCCUUGUAAGUGGAAUCAGGUGAAAUCUGGCUGUAAAUUAGUCUCAGAAACCAAAAGGCUGUGUGACAAGCAUGGCCAGUGUGGCUGUCACCGUCACCUGCAUGGAAAUGACGGAGAUGAGAGGGACAGCGUCUGUCCAGAGGGGAGCUAGAGGAGGGAAUGUCGUGGACGAUGGAAGGAGGACAGGCCUGCCCCCAGCAGACAUGUCGUCUGCAGAGAACUGGCCCGGGACGGGGAGAUGCCCCCGCGGUGGGCAGCAUGUGGUUUGAGGCCGGAACGUCGGACGCACAGGAGCGAUUGGUGGUCUCCUGGGAGCUGGGGGGGGGCAUCUUGGCCAGGUGGUGGGCUCCUCAGAGGCUCAGCCCCUUUGUGUGUGGGGGUGAUGGCCCUCUGCCCUGUCCUUCUGAAGGUGGCCAUAAGGGAGGGAAGCCAAAGAGCUCAGCGUUGGACAGGCUGGGAAGCGAAUCCCACUUCCCACCAGGCCAGUGACUCUGAGCCUCAGUUUCUCCAGCUGUUGAGUGGGGCUAAUAUCAACCUAUAUGGACUGCCUGCUGGUGCGAGGCCCUAGUUAAGCAUCUUUAAUUCCUAGGGGCAGCCUCAUUUACAGCUGAGAAAACAGAGGCACAGAGAGGUUAAGUCACUUACCUGGGGUCACACAGAUGCUAUCUGUGGUUAGGACUCCAGACUAGCGGGGAUCAAAUGGAGCCCUCGGCACCGUGCUGGUGGCCUGGCAGGUGCUCGGGAACGUCAGGUGCUGUUUGCGAUCCUAUCAGUGCUGCUGCCACCAAGAGUGCCAGGAGUGAGACCACCAUAUCUGCCUCUGAGGGCCGUCGCGAGCAGGAAGCGAGGUGACGCACGUAGGACCCAGGGCACUGGCUGCGGCCAAGUCAGCUGCCGGCGACCCCGUGGCAGCAGCAGGAGCAGCUCUGGGUGAGGGUGUUGCGGCGGCUCCUGCCUGUCCUCCGGGCCGAGGGCUUGCCUGCCAGCUCCUCGGAGCCUGGUCCCCAGUGCGGGUCCGGGGGGUGGUCUGGGGUUCUUGGGAAGGGGCGGGCGGGCCCAGCUCAGGCCUCCCUCGGGGGCCUGUCCGCCACAGCCAUGCUGGGGGGCUGCUCCUGGUGGGCUCGGGAGGAUGCCGGGCUGAGCGGCCACAGGCCAAGUUCCUGCCGUCCGGCCUGUGCCCCCAACCCCAGCCCCCCGGACUUGCAGGCUGCUGGGCAAACACUGGAGGGGGUGACUUCUCAGGCUCUAGUGGGCACGGCCCUCCUCCUGCCCCCAUCCCCAGCCUCACUGUGGGACAAAGGGCAUCUGGUCCAACACACCCACCACCGGAUGUUUCCUGGUACAGAGUGUAUCAAAUUGCAGGUUGUGAUGCAUGAGUGGGUCUUGAAAUCCAUUUAGAGGGCGGAGCCCUGCGCUUAAACUCUGCAAUAGACCAGAAUAGAAUAGAUGAGGAAAUAUCAGAGCGCGUGGUGUGCACUGAAGGGGUGUCUGGGGAAACUUCUGCCUGGUUUUCACAGAAAUAGGCGUGUGUGUAACACCGUGUGACGUGUGUUUCUUACUGCGGUUGCGUUAAAAAAUGGUUGACAGACUGUCUCAUGGCCUUCGUGGCACACAAAGUGUGACACUUGUGUGAGUAAGUGUGACACUUAGUCACGCCGGGGCCCAGCAGGUCUGCGCUCUGUUGAUUUCGGGGAGGAGACUGUAAGGCCGGGAGCAUGAAGGUGGGAGAGAACGGGUCUCCCAGGGCUGGUGCAGCGAUGAUUCCCGGGCCGCCCCCGCUCCUUCCCGCCCUGGCUAAGCCGCUCUGCCCCGUUGUCACUUCUCUGCAGCCCGUGUCCCCGCGUUCUGCUCUUCCCAGCGCCCAUCAGGUCAGAUGUUACCACGGUGACUUCCGGCUCUUGUUUCUCUUCUGUGAGCCUCCCUGGAGCGCCGGCUCCCCCAGCACGGGAGCCCGUUUCCCGAUGCACCCCAGCUCGAGCCCAGCGUGGUGCACAGUAGGGACUCACCUGUUGGGAGGAUGUCUGGGGUGGGGGGAGGUCUGCCGCGCAGGGGUGAGCCCCAGAGAGCAGCACGACAGGAGGAGGGGCUCCUCUUUCCGAAAGUCCCCGAGUCCCCUGGACCCGCCCACCACGUGCCCCCUGCCUGGCUUCCUGCAGCCGCCCCUGCGUCGCCCCUGAGGGUCCCAGCUGCCAGGCUGGGCUGUGUGGGAGCCCCAGAGACCGGAGGGGCUGGAAAUGAACGCCCCGGGGGGCCCAGGCCUGAUGGAGUUGGGGCCGCGCCCGGCUCUCUUGGCUGCGGUGCCUGUUUGUGCUGCGCGCUCCCCAGCGGGACGGGCCUCUGGUUUCUCACGGACGUAACUUGCUGGAGGUGGGCACACGCCCCUUCCCAAGAACCUCAGGCCCAUCUUCUGACUGCGCUCUGGGGCUGGACUCCACGGGCUGCAGACACCCCUCGGCUGGUUGCCAGAGGAACAGGCAGAAUGCUCAUCGCCUCCUUCCCGUCUGGUCUCCCUGCCCCACACGCCCGAGCGGUAAUGUUUGUGAUCAGCCCCCAGAGGAAAGCCUUGGACUUGAAGCCUUGCCUCGGGGUCGGCUUCUGGAGAAACCAAAACAGAGACAGAGGAUGGAGGGCUUUCUUGUGGUCUGUGUUUACGUUCUGUGCAUGUGAUGCGUGUAUGUACGUAUGUAAGUAUUUUCCCUGAGUUGGGGUGGAUUUGCAAGACCAAAAAAUGGGUACAAACCGGUGUCGAGGGUUUGCUAUGGCAGGCGGCAAGGAUGCGGUUCCCCUCCCAUCAUCAUAACGGGGCGGGGGAGGGGAUUGCAGGACAAAGAAGGCCGCGG